GAUGAAGAACGUAGUGAAAUGCGAUAAGUAAUGUGAAUUGCAGAAUUCAGUGAAUCAUCGAAUCUAUGAACGCACCUUGCGCCCUUUGGCCAUUCCGAAGGGCAUGCCUGUUUGAGUAUCAUGAACACCUCAACUCUUUAUGGUUUUCCAUGAUGAGCUUGGACUCUGGGGGUUUUGCUGGCUCACAGUCGGCUCCUCUAAAAUGAAUCAGCUUACCAGUGUUUGGUGGGUAUCAUGGGUGUGAUAACUAUCUACGCUUGUGGUUUUUCCACCAGGUAACCUUCAGCAGUGGAGGUUCGCUGGAGCUCAUAGAUGUCUCUCCUCAGUGAGGACAGCCCUUUGAAUGUUUGAUCUCAAAUCAGGUAGGACUACCCGCUGAACUUAAGCAUAUCAAUAAGCGGAGGA
rnacentral:misc_RNA from 1 species